ACGCACAAGCAGAAGCACCCGCUUCUCACCUUUCGGCUCAGGCUGGCUGGUUCGCGAUAAUCGAUUAGUCAUUCCAUCAUUUCAACUGAAGUGAUGCUCUGACAUACAUGUACGGUUAUGAGAUGCGGGUUCGAGCGAACCCGCAUUUUUUUAUUGCG
rfam:Paenibacillus sp. FSL A5-0031 NODE_6_length_370656_cov_1.54701_ID_5135, whole genome shotgun sequence.